CAAAGCAAAUGAACAAGAACAACAAGCGGCUCUGAGAGUAGCAGAGAAUUUCAUCUCACAAAUGAAAUAUCCUCAGAACACUCAGGUACAGAUCCUGCCCCAAGGCCGUGAAAGUCUCCUCUUCAAACAAUUCUUUACAAACUGGAAGUGAAAGCUGGAGUCUCCACCUUAUGCUGGCAAUACUCUGUGACUGUGCCUUUCUGCCCCAUCAACCAUUCAAGCCUUAUUAAAUUGGAGCCACUGUGUC